rnacentral:rRNA from 1 species
UACGUAGGGGGCAAGCGUUGUCCGGAAUCAUUGGGCGUAAAGAGCGCGUAGGCGGCCCUGUAAGUCCGCUGUGAAAGUCAAGGGCUCAACCCUUGAAUGCCGGUGGAUACUGCAGGGCUAGAGUCCGGAAGAGGCGAGUGGAAUUCCUGGUGUAGCGGUGAAAUGCGUAGAUAUCGUAAGGAAGACCAGUGGCGAAGGCGAAUCUCUGGACAGUUACUGACACUGAGGCACGAAGGCCAGGGGAGCAAACGGG